AUUGAACGCUGGCGGCAGGCCUAACACAUGCAAGUCGAACGAGUGGCGGACGGGUGCGUAAUGUCUGGGAAACUGCCUGAUGGAGGGGGAUAACUACUGGAAACGGUAGCUAAUACCGCAUACCAUCAGAUGUGCCCAGAUGGGAUGAGCUAGUUGGUGGGGUAAUGGCUCACCAAGGCGACGAUCCCUAGCUGGUCUGAGAGGAUGACCAGCCACACUGGGAGUGAGACACGGGCCAGAUUCCUACGGGAGGCAGCAGUGGGUAAUAUUGCACAAUGGGCGCAAGCCUGAUGCAGCCAUGCCGCGUGUAUGAAGAAGGCCUUCGGGUUGUAAAGUACUUUCAGCGGGGAGGCGUUACCCGCAGAAGAAGCACCGGCUAACUCCGUGCCAGCAGCCGCGGUAAUAC
rnacentral:rRNA from 1 species